UACGGGGGGGGGCAAGCGUUUGUUCGGAAUUACUGGGCGUAAAGCGUGCGUAGACGGCUAUCUAAGUCGGGUGUGAAAGCCCCGGGCUCAACCUGGGAAUUGCAUUCGAGACUGAAUAGCUAGGGUACGGUAGAGGGAAGCGGAAUUUCCCGGUGUAGCGGUGAAAUGCGUAGAGUAUCGGGAAGGAACAUCAGUGGCGAAAGGCGGGC
rnacentral:rRNA from 1 species